rnacentral:rRNA from 1 species
GACGAACGCUGGCGGCGUGCUUAACACAUGCAAGUCGAGCGGAAAGGCCCUUCGGGGUACUCGAGCGGCGAACGGGUGAGUAACACGUGAGUAACCUGCCCCAGACUUUGGGAUAACCCUCGGAAACGGGGGCUAAUACCGGAUACGACACAGCUUCGCAUGGGGUCUGUGCGGAAAGUUUUUCGGUUUGGGAUGGGCUCGCGGCCUAUCAGCUUGUUGGUGGGGUGAUGGCCUACCAAGGCGACGACGGGUAGCCGGCCUGAGAGGGCGACCGGCCACACGGGGACUGAGACACGGCCCAGACUCCUACGGGAGGCAGCAGUGGGGAAUAUUGCACAAUGGGCGGAAGCCUGAUGCAGCGACGCCGCGUGAGGGAUGACGGCCUUCGGGUUGUAAACCUCUUUCAGCAGGGACGAAGCGUAAGUGACGGUACCUGCAGAAGAAGCGCCGGCCAACUACGUG